GCAGAGUGAUAAUAAAGGUCUGGUUCUCCGGUUGCAUAUUGUUGGACACGGAACUCCGGAUGAGCGUAGAAACUGGCAGUGAGAGCCGGUUUAACUUUACCUAGACAAGACAAGACGAGACGAGACGAGACGGUACUUGUCCUCUCGCUGAACAGGUUCAGUGGCCGUCAUGAUCAUCCAUAGCGGAUAGGUGAAGGGGUGUGUGUGCAUGUGGCCACAGGUGGCGCAAGAGGACCAUGGAGCCUGAUGUCAUCCGUCUGUACUCUUCCUCUCCGCCUCCACUGGAUGAGGCUGGAGAGGAAGAAGAGGAGGAUGAGUUUGGUGAGUUCGGGGGUUUCGAUGGUGGAGGGGUGUCGUCCAGUUUCAACUUCUCAGAGCUCGACACGCCCACAUCAUUCAAUCAAUCAAACGCACUGGAGGACUCCCCACCUGACCUGUACAUCAAAUCCGUGCAGAAUGUCACUGUAUCGGGGAGUGGAUGGGAUAAUGAAAAAAAAAUGGUAGGAGAAUCAAUCCGCAGUGUCGAGAAAACAGAGAAGGAAUCGUCUGACAUUCUCACAAAUGGCGUGAUGUCCUCCGACCUACAGAAGGAGCUCUCUGUUGAAUAUGGUCAGAACUCUCCCUCAAUAAUUCCCGAUGUCCAAAACAGCAGCAUAGGUGACAGACACCGCCUCAGUAACGGCUACAGUGAGUCUUGUGCAAAAUCAGAGCAGGACAGAGCUCUUUCCACUUGCUUACAAAGCACAGACACUGAGGAACAUUCUGGACUAGAUGUCAACAUAGCUGAUGUGUUAGACAGAAAGCAGUUAAUUAACCAAACGGACAACCUGCCAGACUCGAACAAUCAGUCAUUGCAACAAGAAAAAUCUGAACCUGGAGAGACAGAAAGGAGACUGGAGUUAUCUGGUGACUCCCAGUCAUUUACUUCCAGUAGAGAUGCACAGGAGGCUGAAGGUGAGCAGGAUCAAAUGGAGAACUUUGUUGUUUGUGGUGACACAGACUGUCUAGACAUGUCUGCGGACUCUGUUGACAUAGCGGAAACAGAGACGGACCCCUCAGUGGAUGUGGAUCUAAUCUCUGCCACACAGCUGAGUGGAGACACAAGGGAAAUUCAUGGAUCAUCUGUAAAGACAGAGGUCGAAGUAAACGAGGAGGUUGAGACACACAUGAACCCAACAGCUAAUGAUGAUUUUGGCAAUUUCAGAGAUGCAACUCAGGGUUUUGCAGACUUCAGCCGAACUGAAUCUAUAACCCAGGAAGGAUUUCCUGAAUUUGUCACAGCGAUGUCCAGGUGCUCCACAGAUGAUGAGUUUGGUGAUUCGGACACCCUGAAGGACUUCAAGGAUGACGACGAGCUGACUGAGGAAGCAGCGGAUGAUGAAGUAGCUUUUUGUUCUGAGUUGCCUCCUAGUGACAGUUUUGCUGACUUUAGUUCAGCUCCGUUUGGAGGUGUGGUUGUGGGAGGUGAGGACAACUGGGCUGCAUUUGGACCACCUGAAGCCACUGAAGAGUGUCAGGGUUCAUGGGCCACAUUUGAGGAUGAACAGAGUACUUACCUGGGUAAAGAAGAACAAGAUGUUGAGAGUUCAGUAGCACCCUCUAGUGACGACCUCCAGAGUAGCACUGCUGAUUUCGGCUGCAAAAUACAGCAUCUCUUUAGAACCGCCUUCCCCUCAGACAUCUGUUUUGAGGUCAGCAGGGUCAUUGAGGUCUUGCCCCUCCACAAAUUCCUACAGGCUCAGGAUCCUGAGGAGCAAAGGGAUCCAAGCAGCUCUUUUGCACAGGAGAAUGCUUUGGCCAUGUGGCGCCACCUUCAGGACAUCCACGGCACUCAUGGCCUUAAGUACAAGUGGGCUGGUUCCCAUAGCAACAGAAUACUUCUGGAUUGCCUAGGAAUCAGGAAUAUUUUGUUCACUGGAGAUAAGAAGCAGCCAGUGAUCGUGCCUAUGUUUGCUGCUGGACUGGGAAUGCUGGAACCCACCAAAGAGUCUCAGUCUCCAGUCUCCCCUGCACUUUCCCUUUCUGCUCCUGUGGACAGUGGAAAUAUUUUAUGCACUCAGGUGGCGCCCUCUUUGGCCAUUAGUAUUGACGGUACGUCUUUUCGCCGUGCCUCCUUCUCUAGAGUUCAAGAAAAAGCCACUCGUCACUCACGGCAGAAAUCCUACUCCUGAUGCUGCCUCGCUUACCCUUGUCUGAGCACUUCCUUCCUCUCUCACGACACGCUUUUCUUCUCUCCAUUUUUCAAAGUUCCUGUCCCUUCACAAUUCACAUGCCACUUAGGAAAGUUUCUUUCCUGGUACUUGUUUUAUCAGUGUUGAUUUAAAACAACACAAAACUAGCAUUAGCAGAAGCAGAGCAUUAGCAGAAGUAGCUAUCAAAAUCUUGUUUAUUAUCCAAAGAACGGGAAACUUUUUUUCCCCCAGUUUUUUGUCUUUUUUCAUGAAACAUUAUAAAUAUAUAUUCAUAUAAAUCCAUUCAUCUCAGUUUCCCUUUUAAAUGUUAAUUUAUGUUUAUAUCUUGCCUCUCUCCCCUCUUGUUCACUGUUAAAGUCCAGACUCAUGCUGGCUACACACAGAGGCUGAAAUAUACUACCUCAAACUAUAAGUAUGCAGCUUCAACUGUGAUUUAUUACCUUGCCAUUAUAUGCAAGACUUGAGAUAAAGAGAACUAUACCCAUUAUCAAGUAUGUUCUCAGUUGUGUUGUAAAAAUACAACCAAAUUGGUCCCUGUGCACCAGCUUCUGUCUCAGGUUUGACUAAAAAGAGAUUGCAAAUCUUUUUGGAAUAGCUGACCUUAUUGCUGGUGCUUACUUGAAGCCAUUAUACAGCUUGGCUGAAAUUAAAGGGAAAACACCACCACAUUUUGCUACAACACAUUGAGAUGCUAUUUUAAAAUUGUGAAGGUUUAAUUAGGUGGUAAUUUCUGUUACACAGUCUAUGUUAAUGUGUAAUUCUGUUUUCAUUCAGAUAAAAGCAAAACAGUGUUUCCUUGCUGUCUCAAAACCCACUGUGAGCAGCAGUGAAACAUUAGUUAAUGCACUUUUUUGACCAACUUAACUUGCAUACUGUGAUUUCCCACUUUGCUUGAUCUUAAGUGAAUGUUCUGGGUUCAAUACAAGUUCAAACAACAAAAUUUGCUUCAUAAUGUUGAUUACCACAGAAAAUAAUUUUGACUUCUUUUCUUUUUCUUAGUUAAUUUUUGCUAAAAAAACUAAAAAGUUUACAGUUUGUUAUGGCUGUAUUUUUUAAAAAUGGUGUGUAUAUUAAGACUUUCUCCCAGUGCGAUUGCCGUGAUAUUAAGCUUUUUUUAUUGAGGGAUGAGUCACUUUUUUUUGUGAUAAUCAGAAUUAUGCCACAAAUUAAAUUAAGAAAUCCAGAAUAUUCCUUUAACCAAAAUGAUCGACCUUAAUCUCUUUUUCUGGAUAGUAUUUUUUUUUUUUUUCAGUUUUGUUGCACCAAAUUGUUAUUAAACAUGUCAAUAAAUAUAUUAUACUAUAUAUUAUACUACAGUAUUCUGUUCGUCGCUUGCUUUUCUAUUCUUUCUUAUUCUCUUUAUUUUUUUCUUGCCCUGUCACUCCUAAUACAAAUUCCCUGGUGCUGAUCUGCCUUUUCUCUACAUGCUUCUUAUACAUUUACACUAACAUUCAAAAGUUUGGGGUCAGUAAGUUUUAUUAUUAUUAUAUAAAGAAAAUGCAGUAAACACAAUUAAAAGUAACCGUUUCUAUUUUAAAAUGUAAUUUAUUUAUGUGACAAAGCUGAAUUUUCAGCAGCCAUUACUCCAGUUUUCAGUGUCACAUUAUCCUUCAGAAAUCAUUGUAUUAUGCUGAUUUGGUGUUCAACCAUCUUUUCUUAUUAUUAUUAUUAUCAUCAUCAAUGCUUAAAACAGCUUCACAUUUUUGUGGAAACCAUGAUACAUUUUUUCAGGAUACUUUGAUAAAUAGAAACUUCAAUGGCAUUUAUUUAAAAUAGAAAUCCUUUGUAACAAUGUAUAAGUCUUUACUGUCUCUUUUGAUCAAUUUAAUGCAUCCUUGCUGAAUAAAAGUAUUACUAAAAAAAAAAACUUACUGAACCUUUGAAUGGUAGUGUAUUUAAUACUGUAAUAUAUUGUGGGUAUGUUUAACUACUAACAACAUGCUAACCCUCCAUAUCCUGCUGUCAUUGCUGCGGCUCUCAUGUGAAGCACAAGAUGGGGGAAUAUCAGAGCUAAAUUUGGACUAUUUUGGUCCUGUGGAUGAAUGUAGCUCAGAUAGUGAAACUGACACCCCACUGCCAGGUUAGAACGGAAUGGGUUUGUCUCAGAGAAGUGAGUGGUUUGCUGUGAAAUCUUUGUUUCUUCCUUUUCCCUUGUGUCUGUGAUUUUCAAAAUCAGUCUUUAGAGAAGCUUGUCAUCUUUAGCAUUUGUUCGUAGUCUAGUGUUCUGUCCCUGGUUUCCUCUCUCUGGACUUGCUUGCAGUAUCUGCCUCUGUGUUGAUCCAGAGAUAUAUGAACUGACUACAGCUAAAAUGGAGAACAACGCCACUGGUCGCUACAUUGCAGAUGCAUUUACAAAACUCAUGGAGUCUAUGGACAAAACCAGAACAACA